GAUGAAGAACGUAGCGAAAUGCGAUACGUAAUGUGAAUUGCAGAAUUCAGUGAAUCAUCGAAUCUUUGAACGCAUAUUGCGCUCUCUGGUAUUCCGGAGAGCAUGCUUGUUUGAGUAUCAGUAAACACCUCAACUUCCAUAUCUUUUUUGAAAUGGGAGUUGGACUUGAGUGAUCCCAACGCUUUUCCUCACCGAAAAGUGGCGGGUUACUUGAAAUGCAGGUGCAGCUGGACUUUUCUCUGAGCUAUAAGCAUAUCUAUUUAGUCUGCCUAAAAAACAGAUUAUUACCUUUGCUGCAGCUAACAUAAAGGAGAUUAGUUCUUGUGCUGACUGAUGCAGGAUUCACAAAGACAGGCUUCGGCCGACUUUGUAAACUCGAUCUCAAAUCAAGUAAGACUACCCGUUGAACUUAAGCAUAUCAAUAAGCGGAGGA
rnacentral:misc_RNA from 1 species